AAAAUGCAUAAUUUGUACUUCCACAAUGAUGCCACACAUAACCCCAGCUCGCUUAGAGUUCAACAAGAACGGUGAAGAAAACUUGUUCUCUCACGACUGUCUUCUGAGUGGAAGUACACAGUUAAAUUAGGUGUAUGCUGUCAUCUUGUAUCAAAAUAUUCAUCAAAUCUCAAUCUUUUAAUCUACAGGCCGAGCGCAAUACUUGAUGGAAUCAAGUAUCUGAGGAAGACCAACAUUUAGUGUACUCUACAUGGAACUGACAAAGUGUCCGAGCUUCAAGGCCUGUCUGAAAUGAGAUGCAGGACACCAGAAGCAGAGCAACAGGACUACGCAGAAGUAACAACAUCAUGGUCAACUUGUGGACAGAUCAAUUGGUUUAAUGGAUGUUCACAGAACACGAAAUAGUCUAGAUAAAAAUACAGCAUUCUACAUAUCUAUAAUCAUCAAAAGUGAAAAUAAAGAAUGGAAAUACAAAG